GUUUUGUGAAGAGGGUCCUGAGAAGGAAGAGAAGGAGGUUGCAUAAUGAGAAAACUGAAAAAAUGAGAUAAGAAUUCCAAAUAAUCAGGGACAGAUCGUCUGAGGUUUAGUAAUUUUGAUGCAACUCUGGUCCUAGUGGAGGAAGUCAAGAAUGACUCAUCCCCUUUCAGCUGGCAAAGGAAAUCUGAAACCUAUCUCAGAAAGAUCAUCUGUUUUCCUUCUUGCAACAUGGAUUUGACCCUUGCACCAGCCAAACCAAACAAACCUUCAACUCUGAACAUGACAUCCUUUAGAGCAAAGAGUUGCCACUAUAUUUUUAGUGGCCACAUUCAAGCUUGGAGCAUCCCUGAGAAAUAACUUUUAAAUAUCGGAUCAUUUCUGGAUAACUACGGGAAUGCAGGUGUUGCUCAUGACUUCCAGGCAGCCUUGGAUCUCAAAAAGAGUCGAUGUGACUGUCAAUGAAUAGUCUUGCCUCUGGCCAGGCUGCCUUUUGUUGUCUUUGUGCUAUGGAUCAGUUCACAGAACACCAAAGCUCAGAGCCGGAAAGAGAUGCCAGAAAUCAAAUGGUGGAUUCCUAUUUAGGAAUGCCAUCAGGGUAUCCUGGUAAAUAUUUAACAAAUGUUUAAUACUCAUCAUUUGUAUGAAGAGGCAAGAGGCCAGUCAAAGUUUCUCUU
rnacentral:lncRNA from 1 species